rnacentral:rRNA from 1 species
UACAGAGGGGGCAAGCGUUAAUCGGAAUUACUGGGCGUAAAGCGUGCGCAGGCGGUUUUGUAAGUCUGACGUGAAAGCCCCGGGCUUAACCUGGGAAUUGCGUUGGAGACUGCAAGGCUUGAAUCUGGCAGAGGGGGGUAGAAUUCCACGUGUAGCAGUGAAAUGCGUAGAGAUGUGGAGGAACACCGAUGGCGAAGGCAGCCCCCUGGGUCAAGAUUGACGCUCAUGUGCGAAAGCGUGGGGAGCAAACAGG